CUACUGGCGUCGGAAGGCGCUGGGAUGGGUUGCCAGAAGUCAGCAGAGGGCAUAGUAGGGUGCUGAUUUGGCCCGAAGGCC
rfam:Betaproteobacteria bacterium RIFCSPLOWO2_12_FTLL_62_58 rifcsplowo2_12_scaffold_23188, whole genome shotgun sequence.